CCGACGGUGAGAGACGAAAGCUGGGGCACGAACCGGAUUAGAUACCCGGGUAGUCCCAGCCGUAAACGAUGCUCGCUAGGUGUCUGGGAUGGUGCGACCGUUUCAGGUGCCGCAGGGAAGCCGUGAAGCGAGCCACCUGGGAAGUACGGCCGCAAGGCUGAAACUUAAAGGAAUUGGCGGGGGAGCACUACAACGGGUGGAGCCUGCGGUUUAGUUGGACUCAACGCCGGAAAACUCACCUGGGGCG
rnacentral:rRNA from 1 species